rnacentral:lncRNA from 1 species
CCAAUUGUAAACUCAUACACCCGUGCAUCAAAGACAAAAUUCAAAAAACCUACAGGAAACAUCUCCUAACAAAGGGAUAUCUCCAAAAUCAAUAAAAGGAAACACCAAAAACAAAGCUGACACCAAAAUCAAAGACAAACAUCCUCAAAGUUGUACCAAAACCCUCAAACAUCAUCACAAGCUGACAGAAAAACAACUUCCACCACCUACAUUUCGCUGCUCGCACAUAACCCCCAAAAAGCAACGUCAAAAACCAACACAAGCACCAACAACCUUUGAAAAACAGUCGGUAAUAAAACCCCAAAAACACCAUUAGCUCUCCCAAGCACCUUCAUCCAAAAACACACUUUCCAAAGAACCGCAAAAACUGACCAGUGAUUUCAUACCUCUUCGCUUAGCUCGAGUGAUUGAAUAUCACAGCUACUAAGUGAUGGAAUAUCGUUGCUUACGAGGACAAAAGGCCUGAUAGGGAGAAGAAUGUGAAAUCGCUUGCUCGCAAAAACGCCUAUAACAUUAUACAACAAGAAAAUUGCUCUUCAAUAUUACAGCCACAAAACACCUUAUAGCCGAAACGACACAGAUUCCCAAUACUCCCAAACACCUCCACCAAAGCAUAUCUUCGUGUAUAUGAAAACCCUUAUAACAACACAUGUGUUACUCAUCCCACACCUGAAUGCAACCAAACAACGACAAAACCAAUCAAGAAAUAACCCAGACAGUUGAGAUGUCAUACACCUAAGACCAAACAAUCCAUAAACUGAAAUUGAAUAUCAACCACUGAACGGCAACCGGAGAGCGACGAAACCACCAAAACCUAGAAUCAUAAAUAAAAAACAAAACCAUCACCACGAGCACAAACGCACGUGUUGUCGUUGAAAAGCUGCAACACCGUCGUUUAAGAGAAUCAGUGACAAACAAACCUAGAUUAAAACUACAACAACUAACUAAGCCACAACAACAAAAAUCGAUGUCACCUUAACAGAAUCCACCUUCGCAACAACAACAACCAUCACAACAAAAUCCACCUUCACAACAGCAACACCAUCGAUCCACAACGACAACAUUUACGGAGGCAAGAACUCAAUAGCAAAAACAAACACCAGGUAACAGAGGAGUCAAACCGGAUGAGAAGGUUCGGAUCAAACCUAACCGUGAAAGACGAGACAAACAUCCGUUGUGGGUUGCAGCUAGGAUGAUCCUGAACGAACCUAGUUUGUGUCACUACACCAGAUCUCAAAGAUGUAAACGAAAAUAGAGUGGUCUGCGGAUGUGGAAAGAAUAAAACACGUCGAAGGCCACUUGAAACAACCUCAGUCGUGGUUAAGGGUGGUAGCGCUGUGAGUAGGUAAGCGCACCACCAUAACCAGAUAUCUACAUGACGAAUGAGUUUGAAU